rnacentral:rRNA from 1 species
AUUGAACGCUGGCGGCAUGCCUUACACAUGCAAGUCGAACGGCAGCAUGAUCUAGCUUUCUUGUUUGAUGGCGCGUGUCGCACGGGUGUGUAAUACAUCUGAACGUGUCCUGUUGUGGGGGAUAUCUCGUCGACAGAUUUGCUCUUAUACCAUAUGACCUGUGGGUGUAAGUGGGGGACCGCAUGGCCUCUUGCUCUAGGAGAUGCCGAUGUCUGAUUUGGUAGUUGGUGGGGUAAAGGCCCACCAAGGGGACGAUUAGUAGCUGGUCUGUGAGGACGAUCAGCCACACUGGGACUGAGACACGGCCCAGACGCCUACGGGAGGGAGGAGUGGGGAAUUUUGGACAAAGGGGGCAACCCGUAACCAGGAAAGCCGGGGGUGGGAAGAAGGCCUUAGGGGUGGAAAGGACUUUUGUCCGGAAAGAAAAAGCAGAAACUAAAAAUAGGGGUGGAUGAAGGGAACGGAAAAAAAAGGAACGGGUAACUACGGG